rnacentral:rRNA from 1 species
UACGAAGGGUGCAAACGUUAUUCGGAUUUAUUGGGCGUACAGGGUGCGCAGGCGGCACGCUAAGUCAACUGUUAAAUCUCCCGGCCUAACUGGGAAUCAGCGGUAGAUACUGGCAUGCUAGAGGGUGGAAGAGAGAAGUGGAAUUCUUGGAGUAGCGGUAAAAUGCGUAGAUCUCAAGAGGAACACCGAUGGCGAAGGCAGCUUCUUGGUCCACAUCUGACGCUCAUGCACGAAAGCGUGGGGAGCAAACAGG